rnacentral:misc_RNA from 1 species
ACCGCGUCGCCCCCUCCCCCUCCUUCCCAAGGGAAAGGUCGGGGCAAGGGGCGGACAGUGGCCCCCCGUGCGUCCCCGCGCGGCCGGCCUAAACGCAAACCCCGUGGCCGCGAACGGCCGCGACGAUUGGUGGAGUACUAAGACUACGCAUCGCGUCGCGUCGCCGCGAGCCCCGGGAGGAAAUGUUUCCGGAGAGCCUCGGCUCCCCGACCAACCG